rnacentral:rRNA from 1 species
UACGGGGGGGGGCAAGCGUUGUUCGGAAUUACUGGGCGUAAAGGGUUCGUAGGUGGCUCGCUAAGUCAGACGUGAAAUCCCUCGGCUUAACCGGGGAACUGCGUCUGAUACUGGAUGGCUUGAGUGUAGGAGAGGGAUGCGGAAUUCCAGGUGUAGCGGUGAAAUGCGUAGAUAUCUGGAGGAACACCGGUGGCGAAGGCGGCGUUCUGGACUGCAACUGACACUGAAAGACGAAAGCUAGGGGAGCGAAUGGG